GCGUACGUAAACAUCACAGUCGUACGGUAGCAGCGCUAGCUCGCUACGCUGACGGGUGGGGAACGGGUGAUAAAGAACGAAACGUGGCACUCGGGGGGGAUAACUACUCGAAAGAGGGCUAAUACCGCAUACGAUCUGAGGAUGAAAGCGGGGGACCUUGGGGCCUCCGGCGAUUGGAGCGGCCGAUGGCCCAUUGUGUGAUUGGCGGGAUAAAAGCUUACCAAGCCGACAAUCUGUCGCUGGUCUGAUAGGAUGACCAGCCACACUGGGACUGAGACACGGCCCCAACUCCUACACUAGGCAGCAGUGGGGAAUUUUGGACUAUGGGCGAAAGCCUGAUCCCCUGUGCCGCGUGCCCGAUGAGGCCUUCGGGUUGUAAACUGCUUUUGUACUUAACGAAAAAGCUCCUUCUAAUACAGGGGGCCCAUGACGGUACCGACAAGAAUAAGCACCGGCUAACUACGUGCCUUCAGCCGCGGUAAUACGUAGGGUGCGAGCGUGAAUCGGAAUUACUGGGCGUCUAGCGUGCGCACGCGGUUAUGUAAGACAGAUGUGAAAUCCCCGGGCUCAACCUGUCAACUGCAUUUGUGACUGCGUGGCUAGAGUACGGUAGAGGGGGAUGAGAAUUCCGCGUGUAGCAGUGAAAUGCGUAGAUGCGCGGAGGAACACCGAUAGCGAAGCGAUCACGUGGACCUGUACUGACACUCUGACACUAAAGCGUGGAGGAGCAGACAGGGAUAGAUACCCUAGAUACUCCUACGUCCCUCCAACGAUGUCACUGGGUGAUCUGGAUGUAUGUUGUUGCUCAGUAGCUCAGCUAACUACGAGCUAUUGACCGUCCUGGUGCGACUACGGGCGCAUGCUUGAAACAUCUACAUGGAUUCACAGGUAUCCCGCCACGAGCGCUGGAUGAACGUGGGGUAAUUCGAGUUCACUCGGAAGAAACCUUAACAAACCU
rnacentral:rRNA from 1 species